rnacentral:rRNA from 1 species
UAGACCACUGGGUUGAUAGGCCAGAGGUGGAAGACCGGUAACGGUUGGAGCUGACUGGUACUAAUAGGCCGAGGACUUGUUACAAA